GAAGAACAUUACAGCAUGAGACUUUAAUCCCUCACUGCUGAUGAUCUGACUCUGGGAGAGAGAGAGAGAAAGAGAGAGAGAGAGCAGGAAACCCAUGCAAAAGUCUUUAGCUCAAGUGAUAGGCACCUGUGAACAGGAGGAUCUGAAUUCCAUCCCUGAUAUUGCCACAAAAUUGUUUUUGAGUCCUGUGCCACGUGUCUUCUAUUCAUAUCAAACACUGGGGAAUGGAGACUUAAAGGAAAAAAUGUACCGUUUAAACCAUGUAUAAGGCACCCUGGGGAACAUAUCUGAACAUAAGCAUGAGCCGGG